AUGCGAUAAGUAAUCCUUUUUGGCUGCGACAGUCAGACAGCCCAUCCGGCCUGCUCCACUUGUCCAUGCACAGUCAAUUCGGGCCUAGACCUGGGCCUGUGUAAAUAUUUUGUUUCUAGUAAUAAUAUCGUCGGGGGUGUCCGUAAUGAAUUGUGACAGAACGGACGGAUGGACUUAUUGACAAGGGGAGUGCUGGAAAGUGGUCAAGGCGUCUUUUGUUUGUCCUUCAUUUGGUGCCUGCUGUCAGAAAGUGGAUCCAAAAAUACCCAAUUGAUUUAUUUUUGUAGUGAAAAACUAAAAAGAUUCGCAAAUAUGAGAGUCAAUGGUGGAUUUUCUAUUAAAUAAAUUGUUAUUUAGACAUCAUUUUUCCACCUUGCUAUAAAUUCGUCCAUACACAUAAUUUUUGCUAUCGUCAUUUCGAUAUAAUUGCGACAAUUUCAUGCUUCCGCCUUUAGACAUAUCCUGCAUCCUUGCACUGCGUCCAGAGAGACAUGUAUCUAUAUUUGACCUGUCUUAUCGGUGGCCAUCAGCCCCUUGGGCCAUCAACCUAAGCCAACCCUAAGGGUUCUGAAAACCCCCAGUUUUACGCCGAGAUUCUCAAUUAGGAUAAUCUCCGAAUGACUACGCAAAUAUUGGCAAAAUUCGAAAAUUCGCUGCAGACAUUUUGUCAGACGUUUCGGGCAAUGCAUUCGACACGAAAUGAAAUGCGUCUCUUGGGGCGGCCUGCAUGAUUGGGCAUGGUUGGGUUUUAUGCGAAGGGGCGUGCGGAUGGGUCAGCUGCCCUCUAUUAUAUGCACAUAAAAAUAAAUUCCAAGACUUUAUUAUGCCCAUGUACUUGUCAUUGUCGAUGUGUGUGCAAUGGACUGUGCUUUCAUGGGGGAGGAGUGAAGCCUGCAACAGCAAUUGCAGUUGUUUUUGUUCGGCGCCCGGACAUGGGUACUGGGGGCUCGGAUGUGGGUAAUGCAACUGUGAGGACGCAUUUAACAUUUGUGCACGUGUACGUGUAUGCUGCAGUCAUAUGUUUAAUUUUUUGCCAAUGCCCAAUUGAAUAACAUUCGAACGCUUCAUUGAGUAACAUCGUUCCUGUAAACUGCGGAAAGUGCAUAACUUUUAUUUGUUGCGCAUGAACGAUUCAAGUAAGAAUGGGAAUGCUCGACUAGGAGACGCCCAGAACCCAGCGUCAAGUUGUCGCUAUAAAU